AGGAGUAGGAGAGGGGAGGGGAGUAAAAUAUGCCAACUGAUAAGAUGCCUUUAAAAUGUGUCUACUAAUUGAUAAGAGACAAGCUCAGACUCGUCCUGUGGUGAUGUAUAUUGGCUGCAUCUUGUGACCAUGACGAA